UAUGUAUAGUUUCAAAAUUUUACCCAACCCAUUACUUCUCUACUUAAUAAUGCAGGGUAUUUGUCAAAUAACAUAGAGUAAAUUAUUCCUGCACAAAAAAGAGAAACAGUCUUCUAUUUGUCCAUAAGAUUAUUUUGCUGUAUUUGUUUCUUUUAUCUAGAUUAAAAACGUAUCUUCAGAAUAAACAGCAGUUAUAGGUGCAUAUAUACUGUUAAUAGUGCUAGCACACCCAUAAGUAAAAUGAAUUAUAGGUGCAUAUAUACUGUUAACAGUGCUAGCACACCCAUAAGUUAAAAGAAUUACAGGUGCAUAUAUACUGUUAACAGUGCUAGCACACCCAUAAGGUAAAAGAAUUAUAGGUGCAUAUAUACUGUUAACAGUUCUAUCACACCCAUAAGUAAAAAGAAUUAUAGGUGCAUAUAUACUGUUAACAGUGCUAGCACACCCAUACGUUAAAAGAAUUAUAGGUGCAUAUAUACUGUUAACAGUGCUAGCACACCCAUACGUUAAAAGAAUUAUAGGUGCAUACCCAUAUACACCCAUCAGCUUAAACUUCAAUUUAAUAAAAAAAUAUUUAUUGUGGCUCAGGAUUUUAUUACUAUUAAUCUUUUUGGUUUGCAUAACUCAGUUUGCUGUAAUUAUCAUAAAAUAAAAUAAGUUUAAAGACAAGGAAAUGUCAUCACAAAUGCCAUAUAGUCAAAACUGCGCAAUGUAUUAGGUACACAUGUACCAGUUGAAAUAUUAAUUGUUAGAACAAGGGAAAUGUAAGAUACCAAGGGGAGAAUUAAAAGCUAAAAUGAGGAAGAGAGACCUGCUACAAAAUCAUAACAAAAAAUUAAAAAUUACGAAAAGACAGCUGUCUACAAAAUACUACAUCAAAAUUGGUGAAUGAGCAAAACAAGCUCCACCAUAAACCUGGGGUGAUAUAAGGUGCUAAGGAAACAUGUACAGCUCUUCAUGUGGAAUUUUGUACCUGUCAUGGGUUUGAUAUUUACUCUGUAGUAGUAAAAAAAAAUAGAAGGUAAAUAUAAUACAAAUAUUUUUGUUACCUCAAC
rnacentral:lncRNA from 1 species